UCUGGUUGAUCCUGCCGGACCUGACUGCUAUCGGAUUGGUACUAAGCCAUGCGAGUCAUUGUAGCAAUACAAGGCGGACGGCUCAGUAACACGUAGUCAACCUAACUCGUGGACGUGGAUAACCUCGGGAAACUGAGAAUAAACCACGAUAGAUCAUAGUGCCUGGAAUGGCUUAUGGUCCAAACAGUUUACUGCCAUGGGAUGGGACUGCGGCCUAUCAGCUUGUUGGUGAGGUAAUGGCCCACCAAGGCGAUUACAGGUACGGGCUCUGAGAGGAGAAGCCCGGAGAUGGGUACUGAGACACGGACCCAGGCCCUAUGGGGCGCAGCAGGCGAGAAACCUUAGCAAUGUGCGAAAGCACGACUGGGUCAGUCCGAGUGAUUCCUGAUAAAGGAGUCUUUUGCUUGUCCUAAAAGCACAGGUGAAUAAGGGGUGGGCAAGUCUGGUGUCAGCCGCCGCGGUAAUACCAGCACCUCGAGUGGUCAGGACGUUUAUUGGGCCUAAAGCAUCCGUAGCCGGCUUUGCAAGUCUUCGGUUAAAUCCACCUGCUCAACAGAUGGGCUGCUGGAGAUACUACAAAGCUAGGGAGUGGGAGAGGCAGACGGUAUUCAGUGGGUAGGGGUAAAAUCCUCUGAUCCAUUGAGGACCACCAGUGGCGAAGGCGGUCUGCCAGAACACGUUCGACGGUGAGGGAUGAAAGCUGGGGGAGCAAACCGGAUUAGAUACCCGGGUAGUCCCAGCUGUAAACGAUGCAAACUCGGUGAUGCAUUGGCUUAUGGCCAAUGCAGUGCCGCAGGGAAGCCGUUAAGUUUGCCGCCUGGGAAGUACGGACGCAAGUCUGAAACUUAAAGGAAUUGGCGGGGGAGCACCACAAGGGGUGAAGCCUGCGGUUCAAUUGGAUUCAACGCCGGA
rnacentral:rRNA from 1 species